rnacentral:rRNA from 1 species
UAAGACGUACCACCCAAACGUUAUUCGGAAUCACUGGGCUUAAAGAGUCCGUAGGCGGCUCGGUAAGUUGGAUGUGAAAUACCUCGGCUCAACCGAGGAACUGCAUUCAAAACUACCGAGCUUGAGAGAGACAGAGGUAAGCGGAACUGAUGGUGGAGCGGUGAAAUGCGUUGAUAUCAUCAGGAACACCGGUGGCGAAAGCGGCUUACUGGGUCUCUUCUGACGCUGAGGGACGAAAGCUAGGGGAGCGAACGGG